rnacentral:lncRNA from 1 species
UUUAUGAUAGUCACAGAGAGAGAGAGAGAGAGAGAGGCAGAGACAUAGGCAGAGGGAGAAGCAGGCUCCAUGCACCGGGAGUCCGAUGUGGGAUUCGAUCCCAGGUCUCCAGGAUCGCGCCCUGGGCCAAAGACAGGCGCCAAACCGCUGCGCCACCCAGGGAUCCCUCAAAAUAUUUUUUAAAGGUUUUAUUUAUUUAUUCAUAAAAGCCACAGAGAGAGAGAGGCAGAGGGAGAAGCAGGCUCCAAGCAGGAGACCAAUGUGGGACGGGAGCAUGGGAUCACGCCCUGAGCUGAAGGCAGACGCUCAACCACUGAGCCAUCCAAGCGCCCCAAAUAAAUAUAAUCUUAAAAAAAAAAAAAAUAGAGAGAGAAACUAAACUCAUAAUUAACUAUCAAACAUUAGUAGGAAGAUUGGGAGAAAGAUGGGGGAGUAACUGAACUAAGUAUUCAUCUUUUUAUAAAAGGGAGUAGGCAAAUGUCUAAUCAAUAAAAAUUAAAAAAAAAAAAAACAUUAAAUAAAGCUAAUCAAUCAAGGACUGCAGGUAAAAGCUUGUAACUUAAAGUUACCUAAAGAACAAAACACCCAAAUAGUUUAAAAUGUUUGUUUCUGGGACAAUGGCAGGCAAGGAAUGAGAAACUGAGUAUUUUGUUGUUGUUGCUAACAUGUUUAUAUAUUAUUACUUCAGUUAAGAAAAAAAAAAUAUAAAGAAUUUUCUGCUAGAAACUUCUUGCCUAAAGGUAGGAUUUUUUUUUUAAGAUUUAUUUAUUUAUUUAUUCAUGAGAAACACACAGAGAGAGAAAGAGAGAGGCAGAGACACAGGCAGAGGGAGAAGCAGGCUCCAUGCAAGGAGCCCGAUGCGGAACUCGAUCCCAGGUCUCCAGGAUCUCACCCUGAGCUGAAGGCAGAGCUAAACUGCUGCGCCACCAGGGCUGCCCCAAGGUAGGAUUUUAGAGAUGUUAAAAUCUCCCUGUAUAUAAAUACCACAGGAAAAAAAAAAAAAUGGUAUCCUUCAAGUAAAUGAAAACUUGUAUUUUCUUUGUGGUAUAAAAGUAUGAGUUCCCCUCACCCCAGUGCUCCCGUUAAUAUUCAAUAUAAGUGAAGUAGUUCACAUUCCUAGAGAAUCCAGUUAAGAACUGACCAAUAUUUUUUUAAGACUUUAUUUAUUUAUUCAUGAGAGACACAGAGAGAGAGGCAGAGACAUAGGCAGAGAGAGAAACAGGUUCCCUGCAGCGAGCCUGAUGGGGGUUUUUAGGACUCUGGGAUCAUGACAUGACCUGAGCCAAAGGUAGACACUCAACCACUGAGGCACCCAAGUGUCCCAGAACUGACAAAUUUUUAUACCUAGAAAUUUAUUUGAUAUCACUGUGGCUUUUAAAAGUUAUUUUGAAAAAAGUUACUUGUAAAAUGUAAUACUUAAGUGAUAUGCCACUACUCACAAAAUCAGGUAUUGGCACAAAUAUAAUCCACUGAAAAAUGUACAUAGACAAUAAUUUAGUAUCAUUUAGACAAUAAUUAACUCAAACUAGGGACCAGAAAGCAUAGGUCAUUCAGGUCAAGAAUUCCAGCCAUGGCAGAUAUCACAAUCAAACAUGGCACUCUUCCCAGUAGAACAAGAGAACAAUCUCCAAAUCCUCAACAUAGUACUCCUCAGCCUCUAAAACUGUUUACAGUUGGCCUAUCAAGUGAAACCCCUUUGCCCUGGAGCAAAGAUUCUAAUUAAUGUUACUGUAUGAAAAUAUUCACUUCAUUUCUUCUAUUCAGCACCUAAGAGUCUUAAGAGAUUUUCCCAAAGGAUUAAAUAUUACAUUCUGUAAUGAGAACAUUGCAGUAAUUGACCAUGAAGUAUAUAGGUCUUCAUGACAAAGUCUUUUUUUUUUUUUUAAAGAUUUUAUUUAUUUAUUCAUGAGAGACACAGAGAGAGAGAGAGGCAGAGACACAGGCAGAGGGAGAAGCAGGCUCCAUGCAAGGAGCCCAAUGUGGGACUCGAUCCUGGAACUCCAGGAUCACACCUGGACUGAAGGUGACACCAAACCACUGAGCCACCAGGGCUGCCCCAUGACAAAGUCUUAUAGCUAUUCAACUAGUAUGACCUGAAAAGUCUGGUGAGUAUUCCAAGAGUAAGGAAUACCAAAGAAAUUAUCUGAAAACUAGUCAAAACUACCUAAAAGAUCAGUUGUC